UACGUAGGGCGCAAGCGUUGUCCGGAGUUAUUGGGCGUAAAGAGCUCGUAGGCGGCUUGUCACGUCGAUUGUGAAAGCCCGAGGCUUAACCUCGGGUCUGCAGUCGAUACGGGCUAGCUAGAGUGUGGUAGGGGAGAUCGGAAUUCCUGGUGUAGCGGUGAAAUGCGCAGAUAUCAGGAGGAACACCGGUGGCGAAGGCGGAUCUCUGGGCCAUUACUGACGCUGAGGAGCGAAAGCGUGGGGAGCGAACAGG
rnacentral:rRNA from 1 species